UACGUAGGGGGCAAGCGUUAUCCGGAUUUACUGGGUGUAAAGGGAGCGUAGACGGCUUUGCAAGCCAGAUGUGAAAGCCCGGGGCUCAACCUCGGGACUGCAUUUGGAACUUUAUGGCUGGAGUGUCGGAGAGGCAGGCGGAAUUCCUAGUGUAGCGGUGAAAUGCGUAGAUAUUAGGAGGAACACCAGUGGCGAAGGCGGCCUGCUGGACGAUGACUGACGUUGAGGCUCGAAAGCGUGGGGAGCAAACAGG
rnacentral:rRNA from 1 species